rnacentral:rRNA from 1 species
CUUAAGCAUAUCAAUAAGCGGAGGAAAAGAAACCAACAGGGAUUGCCCUAGUAACGGCGAGUGAAGCGGCAACAGCUCAAAUUUGAAAUCUGGCGCAAGCCCGAGUUGUAAUUUGUAGAGGAUGCUUCUGGGUAGCGACCGAUCUAAGUUCCUUGGAACAGGACGUCAUAGAGGGUGAGAAUCCCGUAUGUGACCGGCCCGCACCCUUUACGUAGCUCCUUCGACGAGUCGAGUUGUUUGGGAAUGCAGCUCUAAAUGGGAGGUAAAUUUCUUCUAAAGCUAAAUACCGGCCAGAGACCGAUAGCGCACAAGUAGAGUGAUCGAAAGAUGAAAAGUACUUUGGAAAGAGAGUUAAAAAGCACGUGAAAUUGUUGAAAGGGAAGCGCCUGCAACCAGACUUCGCGGCAGUGUUCCGCCGGUCUUCUGACCGGUUCAUUCUCUGUCGCGAGGCCAUCAUCGUCUGGGCCCGCCGGAUAAGACCUGAGGAAUGUGGCUCCCCCUCGGGGGAGUGUUAUAGCCUCUGGUGAUGCGGCGUGGCUCGGGCGAGGUCCGCGCUUCGGCAAGGAUGAUGGCGUAAUGGUUGUCGGCGGCCCGUCUUGAAACACGGACCAAGGAGUCUAACAUCUAUGCGAGUGUUCGGGUGUCAAACCCCUACGCGUAAUGAAAGUGAACGGAGGUGGGAACCGCAAGGUGCACCAUCGACCGAUCCUGAUGUCCUCGGAUGGAUUUGAGUAAGAGCAUAGCUGUUGGGACCCGAAAGAUGGUGAACUAUGCCUGAAUAGGGUGAAGCCAGAGGAAACUCUGGUGGAGGCUCGCAGCGGUUCUGACGUGCAAAUCGAUCGUCAAAUUUGGGUAUAGGGGCGAAAGACUAAUCGAAC